GACUGUACCUUCAAUUCGUGAAGGUGCAUCGCUCUCAGUUGCUGCUAACCAGGUGAUAUUAUUUGGAGGCCGUGGAACUCGCCAACGGCAUAACGAUCUGUACACACUCUGCACUCAGUAAACUUAAUUUUCAGACAUGGUCUUGGAUACCGCAACGCACGAAAGGAUCUGUGCCUGCACCCAGAGAGCACGCUGCUGUUGCGGCUAUAGGAGCUAAUAUAUACGUACAUGGGGGAAAAGGCAACGUUAUGCAAGAUGACAUUUAUGUUCUGGACGUCAAUAGUCUUGUUUGGACAAAGUUAGUAAACGAAGGUCUAUGCCCAUCUCCAAGAUAUGACCAUGUCGCUACCAUAUUCGACAACAGGCUUUAUAUUGCUGGAGGGAUUGAUGGCAAUGGAACGGCGUUGACUUCAGCGUUUGUUCUUCCUCUCGGGGACGAAGUAUU